rnacentral:rRNA from 1 species
CCUACGGGAGGCAGCAGUGGGGAAUAUUGCACAAUGGGGGAAACCCUGAUGCAGCGACGCCGCGUGAAGGAAGAAGUAUCUCGGUAUGUAAACUUCUAUCAGCAGGGAAGAAAAUGACGGUACCUGACUAAGAAGCCCCGGCUAACUACGUGCCAGCAGCCGCGGUAAUACGUAGGGGGCAAGCGUUAUCCGGAUUUACUGGGUGUAAAGGGAGCGUAGACGGAAGAGCAAGUCUGAUGUGAAAGGCUGGGGCUUAACCCCAGGACUGCAUUGGAAACUGUUUUUCUAGAGUGCCGGAGAGGUAAGCGGAAUUCCUAGUGUAGCGGUGAAAUGCGUAGAUAUUAGGAGGAACACCAGUGGCGAAGGCAGCCCCCUGGGACGCAACUGACGCUCAUACACGAAAGCGUGGGGAGCAAACAGGAUUAGAUACCCUAGUAGUC